GGCCUCUUAGCUCAGUCGGUAGAGCGUGGUGCUAAUAACACUGAUGUCGUGAGUUCGAUCCUCACACAGGCCA
rnacentral:tRNA from 1 species